rnacentral:rRNA from 1 species
UACGUAGGUGGCAAGCGUUGUCCGGAAUUAUUGGGCGUAAAGCGCGCGCAGGCGGUCCUUUAAGUCUGAUGUGAAAGCCCACGGCUCAACCGUGGAGGGUCAUUGGAAACUGGGGGACUUGAGUGCAGGAGAGAAGAGUGGAAUUCCACGUGUAGCGGUGAAAUGCGUAGAGAUGUGGAGGAACACCAGUGGCGAAGGCGUCUGCCUGGGUUCAGACUGACACUUAAGUGCGAAAGCAUGGGGAGCAAACAGG